rnacentral:rRNA from 1 species
GAUGAACGCUAGCGGCAGGCCUAACACAUGCAAGUCGAACGGUAACAUGAGUAGCAAUACUUGAUGACGAGUGGCGCACGGGUGCGUAACGCGUAUGCAACUUACCUCUAACUGGAGAAUAGCCUUCCGAAAGGAAGAAUAAUACUCCAUAAUAUUACGAUGUGGCAUCACAUUGUUCUUAAAGCUUCGGCGGUUAGAGAUGGGCAUGCGUCUGAUUAGCUUGUUGGUGAGGUAACGGCUCACCAAGGCAACGAUCAGUAGGGGGCCUGAGAGGGUUAUCCCCACACUGGUACUGAGACACGGACCAGACUCCUACGGGAGGCAGCAGUGAGGAAUAUUGGUCAAUGGACGAAAGUCUGAACCAGCCAUGCCGCGUGCAGGAUGAAUGCCCUAUGGGUUGUAAAGCUCUUUUACCAGGGAUGAUAAUGACAGUACCUGGAGAAUAAGCUCCGGCUAACUCCGUGCCAGCAGCCG